rnacentral:rRNA from 1 species
UUGAAGAGUUUGAUCAUGGCUCAGAUUGAACGCUGGCGGCAGGCCUAACACAUGCAAGUCGAGCGGUAGCACAGAGAGCUUGCUCUCGGGUGACGAGCGGCGGACGGGUGAGUAAUGUCUGGGAAACUGCCUGAUGGAGGGGGAUAACUACUGGAAACGGUAGCUAAUACCGCAUAAUGUCGCAAGACCAAAGAGGGGGACCUUCGGGCCUCUUGCCAUCAGAUGUGCCCAGAUGGGAUUAGCUAGUAGGUGGGGUAACGGCUCACCUAGGCGACGAUCCCUAGCUGGUCUGAGAGGAUGACCAGCCACACUGGAACUGAGACACGGUCCAGACUCCUACGGGAGGCAGCAGUGGGGAAUAUUGCACAAUGGGCGCAAGCCUGAUGCAGCCAUGCCGCGUGUAUGAAGAAGGCCUUCGGGUUGUAAAGUACUUUCAGCGGGGAGGAAGGCGAUAAGGUUAAUAACCUUGUCGAUUGACGUUACCCGCAGAAGAAGCACCGGCUAACUCCGUGCCAGCAGCCGCGGUAAUACGGAGGGUGCAAGCGUUAAUCGGAAUUACUGGGCGUAAAGCGCACGCAGGCGGUCUGUCAAGUCGGAUGUGAAAUCCCCGGGCUCAACCUGGGAACUGCAUUCGAAACUGGCAGGCUAGAGUCUUGUAGAGGGGGGUAGAAUUCCAGGUGUAGCGGUGAAAUGCGUAGAGAUCUGGAGGAAUACCGGUGGCGAAGGCGGCCCCCUGGACAAAGACUGACGCUCAGGUGCGAAAGCGUGGGGAGCAAACAGGAUUAGAUACCCUGGUAGUCCACGCCGUAAACGAUGUCGACUUGGAGGUUGUGCCCUUGAGGCGUGGCUUCCGGAGCUAACGCGUUAAGUCGACCGCCUGGGGAGUACGGCCGCAAGGUUAAAACUCAAAUGAAUUGACGGGGGCCCGCACAAGCGGUGGAGCAUGUGGUUUAAUUCGAUGCAACGCGAAGAACCUUACCUACUCUUGACAUCCAGAGAACUUUCCAGAGAUGGAUUGGUGCCUUCGGGAACUCUGAGACAGGUGCUGCAUGGCUGUCGUCAGCUCGUGUUGUGAAAUGUUGGGUUAAGUCCCGCAACGAGCGCAACCCUUAUCCUUUGUUGCCAGCGGUUAGGCCGGGAACUCAAAGGAGACUGCCAGUGAUAAACUGGAGGAAGGUGGGGAUGACGUCAAGUCAUCAUGGCCCUUACGAGUAGGGCUACACACGUGCUACAAUGGCGCAUACAAAGAGAAGCGACCUCGCGAGAGCAAGCGGACCUCAUAAAGUGCGUCGUAGUCCGGAUUGAAGUCUGCAACUCGACUCCAUGAAGUCGGAAUCGCUAGUAAUCGUAGAUCAGAAUGCUACGGUGAAUACGUUCCCGGGCCUUGUACACACCGCCCGUCACACCAUGGGAGUGGGUUGCAAAAGAAGUAGGUAGCUUAACCUUCGGGAGGGCGCUUACCACUUUGUGAUUCAUGACUGGGGUGAAGUCGUAACAAGGUAACCGUAGGGGAACCUGCGGUUGGAUCACCUCCUU